AGUUGCUCAUUCAACUUUUUAUGAUGGUCCGGCAUAGAUCGGCAACAUACCUCAUAAGCCCAGAAUGAUGCCAAAGAAAUGGUGCCUAUCGUCCAACCAAACCGAUAACAGCCGCGCAAGCGCUUUAUCAAGCAUCGGGCGACACGUGGAGUGAGGCACCGCCU
rnacentral:sRNA from 1 species